rnacentral:snoRNA from 1 species
CAGCAGCUGCUGCUGCUGCAGCAGCUGCUGCUGCUGCAGCUGCUGCGGCUGCUGCUGCAGGGCAGCUGCAGCCCCAAGUGCUGCUGCUUGUCUAGCGCAUGCAGCUCCAUGCUGCUGCUGCUGCUGCG